UCCGAGGUCGGGAGGGUGGUGGGUGGCUGGUGGAGCGGGGGCGUGAGGGGGACCGUCGACAGUGGUGAGCCGAGUGAGAAUGGGGUAGGCGGCGAUGUGGGAACUCAAAACGUGGUGGGGGAUUCUAGAGAGAAGGGAGAGCGUCUCUCUCUAACUUACAAUCAUUUUUAAUGAAACAAUUUGAAGUUAAAUUUGAAGUUUCUUUGUCAUUUCUUUUCCUUUAUGUGAGGGAAACCGUAUUAAUUGGCUGAGGUUGUUAAUUGUUAUAGAUUGUUGCUUUCUUGGUAUUCAUGUUUUAGAUCCUUUUUUUGGCUUUAUUGUUACUAUGUUUUUUGGUGCUGAGUUAUGAAUACUGUUGAUUCUAUUUCUUUAAAUUAACUUGUAACCUGUCGAUAUUCUUUUUUGGUUA